GAUGAUGUGUGAAGUGUUUGUUGAUGGUUUCAAUUAAACAUGGCUUUUUAGUCUCACCAGCGGGUUUUAAGCGCUAACUAAUAAAACAAAAUCAAAGAUUUCACAUUCACGUUCAGGGUUUUUUCUUUUGGCUAACAUGCCAAAGAACCGGAAACGAUCGAGGGCGAUGAAGCUACGAUGGGCUCGAAUGAGACACUCAGUGAUUUCACCAACAUCCAGACCGCCUGAGACCAUGGAAGAUGAGCUAAGCCUUCCAAGCUCUCCACAUCCACAGGUUGGUGGGGGUCUUCUGGCCCCAAGCAGUGUUGAAGCAGAAAUCCCUGAAACUGAAGAGGGAGAGCUCGGGUACAUGGAUGCAGCAUCUGGAACAAAUACUGAAGGGAGUCAAGAA